AACGCUAGCUACAGGCUUAACACAUGCAGGUCGAGGGGAAACGACAUCGAAAGCUUGCUUUUGAUGGGCGUCGACCGGCGCACGGGUGAGUAACGCGUAUCCAACCUGCCCACCACUUGGGGAUAACCUUGCGAAAGUAAGACUAAUACCCAAUGACGUCUCUAGAAGACAUCUGAAAGGGAUUAAAGAUUUAUCGGUGAUGGAUGGGGAUGCGUCUGAUUAGCUUGUUGGCGGGGUAACGGCCCACCAAGGCGACGAUCAGUAGGGGUUCUGAGAGGAAGGUCCCCCACAUUGGAACUGAGACACGGUCCAAACUCCUACGGGAGGCAGCAGUGAGGAAUAUUGGUCAAUGGGCGAGAGCCUGAACCAGCCAAGUAGCGUGCAGGAUGACGGCCCUAUGGGUUGUAAACUGCUUUUAUAAGGGAAUAAAGUUAGUCUCGUGAGACUUUUUGCAUGUACCUUAUGAAUAAGGACCGGCUAAUUCCGUGCCAGCAGCCGCGGUAAUACGGAAGGUCCGGGCGUUAUCCGGAUUUAUUGGGUUUAAAGGGAGCGUAGGCCGGAGAUUAAGCGUGUUGUGAAAUGUAGGCGCUCAACGUCUGCACUGCAGCGCGAACUGGUUUCCUUGAGUACGCACAAAGUGGGCGGAAUUCGUGGUGUAGCGGUGAAAUGCUUAGAUAUCACGAAGAACUCCGAUUG
rnacentral:rRNA from 1 species